rnacentral:rRNA from 1 species
UUUGCGGACCAUUAGUUUGUUGGUGGGGUAAAAGCCUACCAAGACUACGAUGGUUAGCGGGUCUGAGAGGAUGAUCAGUCACACUGGAACUGGUACACGGUCCAGACUCCUACGGGAGGCAGCAGUGAGGAAUUUUGCGCAAUGGGGGAAACCCUGACGCAGCAACGCCGCGUGAGUGAAGAAGGCCUUUGGGUCGUAAAGCUCUGUCGACAGGGAAGAAGUUGACAACAUCCAAUAGGUGUUGUUAUUGACGGUACCUGUAGAGGAAGCACCGGCUAACUCCGUGCCAGCAGCCGCGGUAAUACGGGGGGUGCAAGCGUUAUUCGGAAUUAUUGGGCGUAAAGGGCGCGUAGGCGGUCUUGUCGGUCAGAUGUGAAAGCCCAGGGCUCAACCCUGGACGUGCAUUUGAAACAGCAAGACUUGAGUACGGGAGAGGAAAGCGGAAUUCCUGGUGUAGAGGUGAAAUUCGUAGAUAUCAGGAGGAACACCGAUGGCGAAGGCAGCUUUCUGGACCGAUACUGACGCUGAGGCGCGAAGGCGUGGGUAGCGAACAGGAUUAGAUACCCUGGUAGUCCACGCAGUAAACGAUGUUCACUCGGUGUGUCGGAUAUUAAAAUCUGAUGUGCCCAAGCUAACGCAUUAAGUGAACCGCCUGGGGAGUACGGUCGCAAGACUAAAACUCAAAGGAAUUGACGGGGGCCAGCACAAGCGGUGGAGCGUGUGGUUUAAUUCGACAACGCGAAGAACCUUACCUGGGUUUGACAUCCUGUGAACGUCCAAGAGAUUGGACAGUGCCUUCGGGAGCACAGUGACAGGUGCUGCAUGGCUGUCGUCAGCUCGUGUCGUGAGAUGUUUGGUUAAGUCCAGCAACGAGCGCAACCCUUAUCGUUAGUUGCCAGCACGUAAUGGUGGGAACUCUAGCGAGACUGCCCGGGUUAACCGGGAGGAAGGCGGGGAUGACGUCAAGUCCUCAUGGCCCUUAUACCCAGGGCUACACACGUGCUACAAUGGUAAAUACAGAGGGCAGCGAACCGGCAACGGUAAGCGAAUCCCUAAAGUUUAUCUCAGUCCGGAUUGGAGUCUGCAACUCGACUCCAUGAAGUUGGAAUCGCUAGUAAUCGCGGAUCAGCAUGCCGCGGUGAAUAUGUUCCCGGGCCUUGUACACACCGCCCGUCACACCAUGGGAGUUGAUUAUACCCGACGUCGCUGGGCUAACUAUUUAUAGAAGCAGGCGCCUAAGGUAUGGUUGAUAACUGGGGUGAAGUCGGAACAAGGUA